rnacentral:rRNA from 1 species
GUCCACGCUGUAAACGAUGUCUACUGGCCGUUGGCCUCCUUGAGGGGUUAGUGGCGUAGCUAACGCGAUAAGUAGACCGCCUGGGGAGUACGGCCGCAAGGUUAAAACUCAAAUGAAUUGACGGGGGCCCGCACAAGCGGUGGAGCAUGUGGUUUAAUUCGACGCAACGCGAAGAACCUUACCUACUCUUGACAUCCUGCGAAGCCUGUAGAGAUAUGGGUGUGCCUUCGGGAACGCAGAGACAGGUGCUGCAUGGCUGUCGU